rnacentral:piRNA from 1 species
GUGAGAACAUGAUUUGAGAGGAGCAGG